rnacentral:rRNA from 1 species
GACGAACGCUGGCGGCGUGCUUAACACAUGCAAGUCGAACGGAAAGGCCCUGCUUGCCGGGUACUCGAGUGGCGAACGGGUGAGUAACACGUGGGUGAUCUGCCCUGCACUUCGGGAUAAGCCUGGGAAACUGGGUCUAAUACCGGAUAGGAGCCAUUUUUAGUGUGAUGGUUGGAAAGUUUUUUCGGUGUAGGAUGAGCUCGCGGCCUAUCAGCUUGUUGGUGGGGUAAUGGCCUACCAAGGCGGCGACGGGUAGCCGGCCUGAGAGGGUGGACGGCCACAUUGGGACUGAGAUACGGCCCAGACUCCUACGGGAGGCAGCAGCGGGGAAUAUUGCACAAUGGGCGCAAGCCUGAUGCAGCGACGCCGCGGGGGGGAUGACGGCCUUCGGGUUGUAAACUCCUUUCGCUAGGGACGAAGCUUUUUGUGACGGUACCUAGAUAAGAAGCACCGGCUAACUACGUG